GGAAGSCUGGCGGGCGUGCUAUACAUGCAGUCGACGAGUUCUCGUUGAUGAUCGGUGCUUGCACCGAGAUUCAACAUGGAACGAGUGGCGGACGGGUGAGUAACACGUGGGUAACCKGCCCUUAAGUGGGGGAUAACAUUUGGAAACAGAUGCUAAUACCGCAUARAUCCAAGAACCGCAUGGUUCYUGGCUGAAAGAUGGCGUAAGCUAUCGCUUUUGGAUGGACCCGCGGCGUAUUAGCUAGUUGGUGAGGUAAUGGCUCACCAAGGCGAUGAUACGUAGCCGAACUGAGAGGUUGAUCGGCCACAUUGGGACUGAGACACGGCCCAAACUCCUACGGGAGGCAGCAGUAGGGAAUCUUCCACAAUGGACGCAAGUCUGAUGGAGCAACGCCGCGUGAGUGAAGAAGGCUUUCGGGUCGUAAAACUCUGUUGUUGGAGAAGAAUGGUCGGCAGAGUAACUGUUGUCGGCGUGACGGUAUCCAACCAGAAAGCCACGGCUAAYUACGUGCCAGCAGCCGCGGUAAUACGUAGGUGGCAAGCGUUAUCCGGAUUUAUUGGGCGUAAAGCGAGCGCAGGCGGUUUUUUAAGUCUGAUGUGAAAGCCCUCGGCUUAACCGAGGAAGCGCAUCGGAAACUGGGAAACUUGAGUGCAGAAGAGGACAGUGGAACUCCAUGUGUAGCGGUGAAAUGCGUAGAUAUAUGGAAGAACACCAGUGGCGAAGGCGGCUGUCUGGUCUGUAACUGACGCUGAGGCUCGAAAGCAUGGGUAGCGAACAGGAUUAGAUACCCUGGUAGUCCAUGCCGUAACGAUGAAUGCUAGUGUUGGAGGGUUUCCGCCCUUCAGUGCCGCAGCUAACGCAUUAAGCAUUCGCCUGGGGGAGUACGACCGCAAGUGAACUCAAGGAUGACGGGGCCCGCACAGCCGUGAGCAUGUGCUAAUCGAAGCACGCGAGACUACAGUCUGAMUCUUUGAUCACUGAARAUCAGGUUACCAUUCGGCAAUGACGUGUGCAUGGAUGCGUCAGACUCG
rnacentral:rRNA from 1 species